ACCCCAUUCCCUUCCCCAUCUGAAACAGAAAUACACCCUCACUCACAAUGCAGUUCAAAUCGGCGUUCGCUCGGUCGAUCUCCGAUCUCUUCAACGAGUCCGAUUUCCACAAGAAAACUCCCCAAUCUCCUUCUGCAACUAUAAACCCUAUAUACCCACAAAGUUUGGGAUAAGUAUAUCUUAGCCCACCUAACUUUGAUUAUUCGGUUCCGGCUGCCAUGAGAGGUGGUGACAGUACCAAAAGAGUCUACUCUAGAAAAUCCUAGUCGACCUUGGGAGCAGUACCGGCCUCUGAACUGAUGAAUAUUGAAAUUGAUGAUCUCCCGGAUGUUGUGUUGGUUAAAAUUCUUUGUCGGCUUCCAUGCUAUAAGUUUGUUUCAAAAUGCAAGUCCGUGUCCAAGCGUUGGUGCAAUGUCAUGUCCGGUCCUUAUUUUCUUGCCCGCUUUCUACGUCUCCAGAGUGAUCGUGAGCAAACACCAAUAAUUCGUACUCUGAUAACCAACAAACGGGAGGAGUUCCUUACUAGAAUGUCAUCGUCCACCAAGCCGCUAGCUCUGUUGUUUGAAAGACUCAUGAGUUCCCACCAUUUGGAACAAGAGCCGGUAGUGGUAGCUACGUAUAAUGACUUAGUUUUGUGCUGUACAACGUGGGGCUAUUAUCAACGUGAUUACUACAUCUGCAAUCCGUGCACAGUUCAGUGGGUUCCUGUUCCUCCCCCUCCUCGUGUUUACCGUAUACACCAGUGGGAUUCAUAUGCGAUCUUCCCUACUAUAACUGUACAAAAGAUGAUCAGGGAGGAAGUUUCAUUCAGGUCAAUGCUGAGUAUAGGUGCAGGAUAGUGAGAUUAAUUCUUCGUAAGAGAUCUGUCUGCAAACUCAAAGUGCAAAUCUUCUCCUCUGAUACCGGUGAAUGGAAAACGUCAACUAUAUCAAUUCCAUCAGGUUUUAUUUCUGACACCGUCCCUCUAGAGAGGAGCUUCAGUUACAAUGGCAUGCUGUAUUUUGUGGGUGAUGAACCUGGUGAUCAAAAUUUUCUUUUGGGGUUGGAUCCAUUCAUGAUCAACAAUAGUAACAGUGCUCUUAGUUUAUCUAGUACUAGCCGUAAUAGUACUAAUGGUGAUGAUAUCAUUGAUGGCUAUAAAUGUCGUUUCAUUCGAUUUGAUGAUCCAGACUCUUUUCUACUUCGGUAUCUUGGUGAAUACAGAGGGUGUCUGCACAUGUGCGACUAUCAUGAUCAUACCUGUACGUUUUUUUUCCGGGAGUUGAAAGAAGAAGAAAUGCACGGAGGAGCUGGCAAAUUAUGUUUGGAAGGCAUGAUGAAGGAUUAUUCACCGGACAUAAAAAUGGUUCCGGGUUAUGAUAUUGUUUAUUUACAAUUUUUAGACCCCAAUAACGAGGAUAUUUUAUAUAUGUACAUUCGUAAAGACAUUGUCAGGUACAACAUUCGAACAAGAGAUUGGUUAAAGCUGGUUGAAAACAUUCCCUAUGGGAAUUCUUUUCUCUUUCCAAUUGUGCUCACUUGG